AACAGAUGUGAUCACGCUCAAUCAGCUAAAGUAACAACUCAACCUGUCACCUCUUGUUCCUAUUCCACUGGCUCAGUGAUUAAAUUUAAAAGCUUUGACACUGGCUUUCAGGACAGCCACUGGAACAGCACCCUCUAUCUCAGUACAGUUGUUCAGAUGUAACAGAGGGAGCAUGUACUUGUACAAGUGUGCUACAUUCCUUCUCUGCAAUGAAGUCACUACUGUCACAAUGUCCAUUCACCAUGCCUGUCACCACAACACACUACAUUUCCCAUAAUCCUCCCUGCCCAUCACCUGCACACUCAACUCAAUCUUCACACCUGUUUGCCAUCAACCUCAUCAGUUUCCCUAUUUAAGCAAGUGCCAAACACUCCUUCAUUGUCUGGUCUCAUCACCACUGGGACUGUUAUAUAUUCUUUGCCCAAGAACUGCUUACCUACGUUGUUUCACACAGAAGGACUUGCCCAUCUACUCACCUUGGAUUCUUACCUGUGUUAUGCCUGUUGUCAGCCUGUCCUUCAGUCACGCCAGCCAGAACCUGCAAAACAUAAAGACUCUUGCUCCUUCAGUUAACUGACUUAUUCCAGAGUUCCCAUGUAGCUACACUCCACUUUUCUUUGACCUGAAUGAGACCACGAUUUGACCAGAGAACACUGACACCAAAAACUGGGAGAGAUGAAGCAGGUGUCCUUCUCAAAUACUUGGUGAGCGGUGCAACUUUUUGGUGUUUUUCAAGUUGUUGUCCUGUUCCUUGGUGUCACUUCAGAACUAACCUAGUUUAAGUUUUGUGCAACUAAGACACGGAGGAUGAUCCUUAAAUAUAGAGGCCCAUCUGUUCUACAAUAUGCCAAAGUCACACCUUUAUAACUGAGCCAGAAUGAGAUCAGGUUGUGUCAUUUUAAACAAUCAAAUUUAAGGCUUUUACACUGGCUUUAAGGACUGCCACUGAAAUCACACCCCUACCUCAAAACACUUGUUCAAGAAAUGUUACUGCAGAGAAGGAGCAUUUUACUUGUAAAAGUGUGCCAUGUUCCUCCUCCGUAAUGCAAUCACAGCAGAUGUUCACUACCUCAAUGCCUAUUUUUGUUACUUUCUGGAGGUAUGCAAAUAAUUUGCUUUGUAUAACACCUUAUUUGCUGUUUUUUUAAUUUUUUAUUUAUGCCUUCACCUUCUUGUAUUCCAGUUUAAGACUUGUAUGUCCUUUGUCACAGUAACCUUUUUGUAUUUAUCCCUGCUCUUGUUUGUAACUUUUUUUUUUUCCAAGCCUAUUUUUUUAUACUUUCAUUUAUGCUCUUUGUAUUAUUGGCCAUUAUGUUUUAUGGCCCUGUACCCAUUGACUUGACUUAUGCCCUUUUCUAUUUUUAACUGUUGCAUUUUUUUUUUUUUUAAAGUGUACUGUAUAAAUCAUCUUGUCUUUACUGUUAUUGUCUUUUGUAUAUUUAUGCACUUGUUUUCAUUCUCUGCCUUCUGUAUAUUAGCAGUAAUGAUUGUCUUACUAAGCCCUUUUUAUUUAGAUUUUGUGAUUCUUUAUGACCUCUGUGCACAUUUGUAUUUGUGUCUGAUGUAAUUUCAUUUAGCCUGUUAGGUAUAUUAUAAGUUAUUAUAAAUAAAUCCAAUUUCUUUUUAUUUUCUCUUUUUUUUUCUUUUUUUUUUUUUUCCUCCUUUUUGGGGUUAAUGCCUUGCAUUGUCUUUGUUAACAAGGCCAGCAAAAAAAAUAAAAUGAUUGCUUUAUGCUCCUGUUUUUUUAUUUUUUUAAAUAUACCCUUCAUUUGUGUCUUUGUCUGCUGUGUAUGCUCUUUCCUAUAUUGUAAAGCUUUCUAUGAGAGUGGCUAUUUGUAAACUGACUUGUAUAUAUUUUGUUAGGCCUUGUUUUGUAUUUAUGCUUUCAUUUUGAAGUAUCUUUUAAGGUUCCCUGUCCUGUUGCAGUGUUAAUUUUUAAAGUCUGUUAACCUUUUUUCUUUUUUUCCACCUAACAUCUUAAUUUAUUUACCUUUAUUCUUGUGCCCAUAGGCUCCUUUGUAUUAUUUGUAAUUUUACAUAAUUCAAAUGUUCAAAAUGACUUAUGUAAAAUUAAGUAAUUGUCAGGUUUUUAUUUUAUUUUGGUCCCAGUUCCUGUAAAUUUCCUGUCUUAGUGUCUGUUCUCGAUAAGUUUCUUGUAUGUUAACAUGGCAACCUAUUGUAUCCACCUGUUUUAUGUUGACUCUGUGUCUGUAUAUAUGUACUCCAUUUAUUUCCUUGUCUGUUUUUCCAUCUGAUUAAUUUUGUUCUUUCCCUGAGUAUUUGUCACUUUUGAUUUAUUCAAGUUUUACUGCUGCAACUAGAUUGGGCUUCCUGUAUGCCAAUUGUGCCUCGGUGUGUCAGUCCCCUGGCUUUGACUCGAGCACCUAACCAUCUCCCUGGUUGUGACACGGACUUCCUGUCCUAUGGCUUUGCCUUCCUUGUCCUUGCCUUGUCUGUCCACCCCUUUGGCUCUAUUGUUGUCCUUUCUCCCUCCAUCUUGGGUUGCAAAUUCAUCCUGUCAUCCUGGGUCAUUGGCUCAGCCUGGGUCGUCACCUACAACUUGUUCACUUGUCCAUCCUCCAAAUCCAUUGAGGGUCUGCAUCCUGGUGAUCUUUUCCUGUCCUUUUCUCCCUGAAUCAUGCUUAGUGAAAAACACCAGAGAUAAUCCAUCAGCCAUUGUUUGCAGCUCCA